GAUGAAGAACGUAGCGAAAUGCGAUAAGUAAUGUGAAUUGCAGAAUUCAGUGAAUCAUCGAAUCUUUGAACGCACAUUGCGCCCGCCAGUAUUCUGGCGGGCAUGCCUGUUCGAGCGUCAUUUCAACCAUCAAGCCUCAGGCUUGUGUUGGGGACCUGCGGCUGCCGCAGGCCCUGAAAACCAGUGGCGGGCUCGCUGUCACACCGGGCGUAGUAGAUUUUAUCUCGCUCAGGGCGUGCUGCGGGUUCCGGCCGUUAAAAAGCCUUUUUUACCCAAGGUUGACCUCGGAUCAGGUAGGAAGACCCGCUGAACUUAAGCAUAUCAAUAAGCGGAGGA
rnacentral:misc_RNA from 1 species